rnacentral:rRNA from 2 species
GAACUGGUGAGUAACACGUGGGAAACCUGCCCAGAAGCGGGGGAUAACACCUGGAAACAGAUGCUAAUACCGCAUAACAACUUGGACCGCAUGGUCCGAGUUUGAAAGAUGGCUUCGGCUAUCACUUUUGGAUGGUCCCGCGGCGUAUUAGCUAGAUGGUGAGGUAACGGCUCACCAUGGCAAUGAUACGUAGCCGACCUGAGAGGGUAAUCGGCCACAUUGGGACUGAGACACGGCCCAAACUCCUACGGGAGGCAGCAGUAGGGAAUCUUCCACAAUGGACGAAAGUCUGAUGGAGCAACGCCGCGUGAGUGAAGAAGGGUUUCGGCUCGUAAAACUCUGUUGUUAAAGAAGAACAUAUCUGAGAGUAACUGUUCAGGUAUUGACGGUAUUUAACCAGAAAGCCACGGCUAACUACGUGCCAGCAGCCGCGGUAAUACGUAGGUGGCAAGCGUUGUCCGGAUUUAUUGGGCGUAAAGCGAGCGCAGGCGGUUUUUUAAGUCUGAUGUGAAAGCCUUCGGCUCAACCGAAGAAGUGCAUCGGAAACUGGGAAACUUGAGUGCAGAAGAGGACAGUGGAACUCCAUGUGUAGCGGUGAAAUGCGUAGAUAUAUGGAAGAACACCAGUGGCGAAGGCGGCUGUCUGGUCUGUAACUGACGCUGAGGCUCGAAAGUAUGGGUAGCAAACAGGAUUAGAUACCCUGGUAGUCCAUACCGUAAACGAUGAAUGCUAAGUGUUGGAGGGUUUCCGCCCUUCAGUGCUGCAGCUAACGCAUUAAGCAUUCCGCCUGGGGAGUACGGCCGCAAGGCUGAAACUCAAAGGAAUUGACGGGGGCCCGCACAAGCGGUGGAGCAUGUGGUUUAAUUCGAAGCUACGCGAAGAACCUUACCAGGUCUUGACAUACUAUGCAAAUCUAAGAGAUUAGACGUUCCCUUCGGGGACAUGGAUACAGGUGGUGCAUGGUUGUCGUCAGCUCGUGUCGUGAGAUGUUGGGUUAAGUCCCGCAACGAGCGCAACCCUUAUUAUCAGUUGCCAGCAUUAAGUUGGGCACUCUGGUGAGACUGCCGGUGACAAACCGGAGGAAGGUGGGGAUGACGUCAAAUCAUCAUGCCCCUUAUGACCUGGGCUACACACGUGCUACAAUGGAUGGUACAACGAGUUGCGAACUCGCGAGAGUAAGCUAAUCUCUUAAAGCCAUUCUCAGUUCGGAUUGUAGGCUGCAACUCGCCUACAUGAAGUCGGAAUCGCUAGUAAUCGCGGAUCAGCAUGCCGCGGUGAAUACGUUCCCGGGCCUUGUACACACCGCC